rnacentral:piRNA from 2 species
UGACAUAGCAGGAAGAGGACAAGGCAGC